UGCUCCGGAGCGCACCGUCUUCAUGCCAGGGGCGGCCAGUGGACUCGCCGGCUGCACAGGACCACUGGACAUCUGGCAGAAAACAGGAAGCUGACCUCGCUCGGCCGGAAAACUGUGAGGUGAAGGAAGAGGAAGAAUGUUCUUUGUCCCUCGAUGUGGGGGGGUGUUGUUUCGUUGUUGAUUCCAACACUGCCACGGUUUCUUCGGAGCCUUGUCUACACCGGCAACACCGAGGUUUGUAAAGUGCCUUUUAUCUAGCACAGUGUCACAGGGCUGUGGCCCCUGGUGUGCCCAAGUCCAGCAUCUCCGUCAGAUACAGUUUUGACAUCUUCACUGUGAGGCCUCGUCUACACCCACAGACUUUCGGGUGGGAUUUGCUGCUCAGCUGCUGACCUUUGUCUGAUCAGCUGUUGCGAUCCCAUGGGUGUACCUGCUUUCAGUACAUGAAAUCGCAUCCUGUUCUACCUACAUGGAUCGAUUUUUUUGGUAUCAUCUUUAUGGCUUCAAACUAUUCCAUUUUCUGGAUUUACUAAUGUGUAUUUAAACAAUUCACUUUUAUUAAA